UGGCCAAACGAUGGAGCCAUAAAAUUAAAAAGUGAAGUGUGAUAAUUUUAGGACUAAUAGUCGACCUAUCUCUUUACUAUAAAACUUCGAACAACUCCAUGGAAAAGAUGAAACACUACACUUUGCGUGGCCCGACACGCACUUGGCCAGUUAAUUCGUUUAAUUUGCCUACCGGCCGGUGCAGAGUACAGCACUGUAUGUUAGGUACACAAAAGCUUUGCCGCCUUUUGCUAUGUCGAUUAAAACGUUUAUUUUCAUUCAUUAUGUAAACAUUCGUUUGUGAAAAUAUACAGUGCCGAAAUACACAUAAAAACUUCGAAAACUAUGGGAUACGCUUCACGCUGUAAAAUUUUCGAGCCAGUAAACGGUCGAAAGAAGCUCGGAACACUUCACACGUAAAGUCUUAUUAAAAUAUGAACUUCAUACAGGAUAAUCCACAAAAUCCUUCCUUUUUUCUUUAAACUCGCACCAUGAUUGCGUAGAAGUUAUUUUUGGUCGUAAAUCUGAAACAAUAUUAAAAAUUAGCGUUUUUUGCCUCAAUUGGCAAUGUUUGUGUACCUUAGUUGUACCAGUAGCGCCAUCUGCGCUGAGCUUUGCGUAAUAUGCCCCCCUAUUAUACCUAGUUAAAUUUUGGCCACCGAAAUUGCUUUGUUAGAGAUUUAGCUAUGGUAGGGGUCGCGGAGGAAGAGGAGUGUCAGUAGGUAGUAUGGUGCACCAGUCUCCCUAUCCUCGGCGACACGGCGCGGUCAUGGUACCUACUAGACAUGGUGAUGGUGUCGGCCAGCUAACAGAGUGAAUCUAUUAAGAGGAAACUAAGAACUCGGAGGUUUUUGGGGCUGUGUGGAAGACCGCUACAUGAUGUUGGUGAACCUGGCUGUGACGGAAGCUAAGGAAAUGCAGUAAAACAUCGGCAAGUAAAGUAUCAAUUUACUGUUAUGUAUCAGUACAUAUCUACAAUAAUAUCGAUAAAAACAUUUAUUUUCAGUAAACUUUGGUAUUGUUACUUAGCCGCUUCAUAUUGGAACUCUUCUGUAUUGAAAAUGUGAUGAAUGAAAAAUACUGAAUAUGCAUCUCGUGGCCCAAGGACCUAUGUAUACCUUACUUAUACUAAAUUGUACAUUUAAACGCCUUUGUGAUAGUAAUUACAUAUUAUACUUUUAUA